rnacentral:lncRNA from 1 species
AUAAAUGUCGGCUUGAUGACCAUUAAAAAGGGUGGUUUGAAGCCAUACCGUGGAAAAACUAUUUUCCUAACAACAGACCCUGACGCUACUGCCACAGGUCUGCUCAAUCAAGCUGUUAAAAAAAUGAAGGACUUUAACAAAGAUCUAAAAGAUGGACCUUUCCUUCUUCUGUAUCCGGAUGGCACUGAGGUCAUUACUGUCCCUGGAACACAAAGACCAUUUACACUUGAGGCUUAUAAGGCUGAAGUUGGCAAGCCUUAUCAAAGAAUCACUGUUUUCAUCUGCUUGAAGAGUGACUUUGAAGAUGUUGGAGAAAACUCAGACUUGUCUGACUCUGACCCAGAGAUUGUUAUUAAAAGGCCCUCUGAGUUUGAUCUUGCUGAUACACUGCCAUUGGAACUUCAACAUGAAAGCAGUCCUUUACAGAAAGCGGCAGAAUAUGAGAAGGGUGCUGGGGAUCUUGUGCUUGCUAAUGAAGUACAACAGAGACACCAAUUUGCAGGCACAUGGAAUUAUUGCAAAUUUGGCACUGGAACUUGACCACAAGAAGGUCAGCAGGUUCAAUAUAUCAAGGUCAGCUGUAUGGGAUGGAGCUGUUAGAGGAUUUCGACGCAGCACAUACUCUGACAACUACGACAUGUUCAUCAAGUUUAAUGAUGAUGCUGGCAGCUUUGAAGAAGGUUUGGAUACAGGUGGCCCGAGGCGUGAAUUCCUCACACUUCUUAUGGGCAGUCUGCGAAAUCGCCCCAUCUUUGAUGGACCUCCAGAGAGCCGUUAUCUUGUAUAUAAUUCAAGAGGUGGAUGUUUUCUCCGUAAUUAUUACAAUGGAAAUUUUAAUAAAAAUUGGCGUAUUUUUUCAUUAGCAUAUUUAAUAGCAAUUAACCAUGAUAAUUAUGUGCCCUGUAUAACAGCUGCCAGGCAAGAUGAGUACUUUUUAGCAGGAAAGAUGAUCGCUGUAUCCAUUGUGCAUGGGGACCAGCACCACAUUUCCUCUCCAAGAACCUGGUCAACCACAUCACAGGGAAUCAGAGUUUCAGCGCCACUGUAGAAGAUGUGCAAGAUGAGGAGAUCACAAAAAUUUUACAUCAGAUUUAAAGAUGGACUGGAAAGUCUGAAUUUUUUAAGUGCACUGCAACAAAAUUCCAGUGUGCUGGCCCCACUCCUAUGCUUCUCUGCCAAGGCCCUGACUGCUUCAGAACUGGAGAGCAUGUUCAGAGCAGAUCUCAGCCCAGCAGGAAGCAACAAGCGGCAUAAGGAGGUCCUAACACUUGGCUUUUGGGCAGAUUAUCUCCUUGAUUGUGAAGGUUUGAAUGACCAUUUUUAUUUGUUUAUAGUUUUAUGAAAGGAGAGGUGAGGAAAUAAAUUUUCUGUAAUGUACUACAGUGUUUACUUUCUUCUUUCAGAGAAGGCAACAGCAGUGUGUCUGGAAGAUUUGAUGAUGUUUGCCACAGGGCUGACGGCAGUUCCACCGGCAGGAAUGACACCACCACCACGCAUCCAGUUUUUAAGUGUUUCGCCUUUUCCAGUUGCAAACACCUGUGCAAAUACUCUGAAGCUACCCAUCUGUGACUCAUACAGCAUCUUUAAGGCCAACAUGGACUUUGGAAUUCAAAAUGCUCCAGGAUUUGGAUGUUCUUAAAUCAGCAAGGUCAUCAAGUUACAGUUACUGAGUUACCCUGUUAGGUUCAGCUGCCGUUGGCAUACUACUUAACACAUUUAUGUGACAAGCAACUUCCAUAUUGUUAAACAUUUAGUUGUUUUUUCUGAAUAUUGUGUAUGUUGGAAAAGUGACAGAAAUGCUGGACACUAUUUGUAAAUGGUUUUAUUAAAGAACAUUUUAAAUGUUUCCUUGUGGUUAAAUGUUAAUAUUUAAAUCCAUGCCAGUUGCUGUAUAUUAUGAACAAUAUUAUAUUCAAUUUAGCAAGAGGGAAAGGAAACACUACUAACAUUAAAAAAUGAAGGAAAAACAGAAGGGCUGGAGCACUCAAGUCCCAAAGGUUUUAUUAGGUGCAAAAAAAGGAAAGAAACUAACGUUUCGACACCGUGUGUGUCUUCGUCAGAGUAACUCUGACAAAUGUCAUUACAAACUGAAGUUCAGUUGGUAUCUAAAACCCAGCUAUGUCCUUCAGGGCCAAAUACAGUUCUGUGGCCGAUUCCCAGUCUUGUGGCUGCUGCAGUGUGUUUUGUUGUACAGCCUGUUGUAAAUAUUCCCCAAUGUUUGGAUCACCAGACAAUCCAACCAGUAGCCCCUCCUCGGGAAACACAUCCAGUUCCCUCUCCUCAACAGCAAAUCCACAGUCUCUUGAACCAUAUCUGCAAAAUGAAAAUAGAACAGUGAAGGAUUUUUUGCUGACAAUAUGGAACUAUAUAAAUCAACGCAUGCGGUGACAUGUUAUAAACUGCUCUAUCAUACUUAUGUGUAAAAUUAUGAAUAUAUAUUAACCAACUUAAGCAAUAACAACACCUUGCAUUUAGUUUGAUGCAAAAGGUUAAUUUUGUUAAGAACUCAAAUACCUGUGAGGCAAGAGAUAGAGUUUGUUUGCAAUCCCCCCUGGACAC